rnacentral:rRNA from 1 species
GGACGUGUAGCGCCUGGGGCGUCCCAUGUGAAAGACACGGCUCAUCGUGAGAGGAGCGUGGGAUACGCUCAGGCUAGACGGUGGGAGAGGGUGGUGGAAUUCCCGGAGUAGCGAUGAAAUGCGCAGAUACCGAGGAGGAACGCCGAUGGCGAAGGCAGCCACCUGGUCCACCCGUGACGCUGAGGCGCGAAAGCGUGGAGAGGCAAACCGGAUUAGAUACCCGGGUAGUCCACGCCCUAAACGAUGCGCGCUAGGUCUCUGGGUCUCCUGGGGGCCGAAGCUAACGCGUUAAGCGCGCCGCCUGGGGAGUACGGCCGCAAGGCUGAAACUCAAAGGAAUUGACGGGGGCCCGCACAAGCGGUGGAGCAUGUGGUUUAAUUCGAAGCAACGCGAAGAACCUUACCAGGCCUUGACAUGCUAGGGAACCCGGGUGAAAGCCUGGGGUGCCCCGCGAGGGGAGCCCUAGCACAGGUGCUGCAUGGCCGUCGUCAGCUCGUGCCGUGAGGUGUUGGGUUAAGUCCCGCAACGAGCGCAACCCCCGCCGUUAGUUGCCAGCGGGUGAGGCCGGGCACUCUAACGGGACUGCCCGCGAAAGCGGGAGGAAGGAGGGGACGACGUCUGGUCAGCAUGGCCCUUACGGCCUGGGCGACACACGUGCUACAAUGCCCACUACAGAGCGAUGCCACCCGGCAACGGGGAGCUAAUCGCAAAAAGGUGGGCCCAGUUCGGAUUGGGGUCUGCAACCCGACCCCAUGAAGCCGGAAUCGCUAGUAAUCGCGGAUCAGCCGUGCCGCGGUGAAUACGUUCCCGGGCCUUGUACACACCGCCCGUCACGCCAUGGGAGCGGGCUCUA